CGGGUCGGCGUUGGGGAAGCGUUGGUGCGCAGGUUCCAGGACCGGGGGAGAAGAAUCCAUCUCCAUCGGAGGACUGAGCGGGCAUCCGGCCGCAGACAUGCCGGAGAACGCAAGCACAAAGGGGGCCUUUCUGAAUGCGGCCGCAGGGAACCGCAACUCCGGUGGCAAUCGCAGUUCUUACCAGGAUAAAGAUAAGCCCGCUCAGAUCCGCUUCAGCAACAUUUCUGCGGGGAAAGAGCGCUAAUUUUACAGGGUGAAGCACCAGAAACAGAGUUGGCAUUAUGCUUGAAUUCAUGUGGUUUAAGUGGCGUGGAAUAUUUUUGCAUUCCUGCUUAUGGAGAGGUUUUGGAAAUUAUUCCAUCCACCCUGGCUGAAAAUGGUGGGCCCUAAUCUGAUAUCGACUGUUACGGAGCUGAGAAAUGGACAUGGACAAGGAGAGAAAACUGUUGGCAUUAAUGUCAGAAAGAUGAACACUUGAUGAAAUUACUAAAGGAAGAGGCAGAACUCUUAACUAGAACACUAUCCUAAGUUUGGAAUUUGGCUCCUAUAUAGAGGCACUGCGUUAAGACACCUAUUUAGCUUGCGGUUAUGUUCAUGUUCUGUUAACACGUGAUGACAUGAACUAAAUGCCACAACUUACAUUCUGACAUCAGGAUACAAGAAAAUUUUUGUAAUUUUCUUGAGUGGUAAAGUGACUUCACUGACAUAAUGUGAUUGAAAUUAAUUGACUGACAGUAGCCAAAUCCCAUCAUUAGCAAUAAAUAUUUUUGCCAGGAAUGAUUAACUUGGUGGUAAUUUGAAAAUUUGUAUUAGUGAUUAUUAAACCAUUUUUAUUCACUACAGCUCCUUUUUAUUUUGUAUUUUUGGCCUCUGAUGCAAGGAGAAGCAAGAGCAGGAGAAGCGGGGCCCUUUGAGUAACUAUUUUCAGUAACAAAGAGUGUCUUUGAUUAAUGUUUCUAAAUUCUUUGGAGUAACAAGCAAGAAUGUGAAAUUCUGAUACGAACCAGAUCAGACCAACUAGAGACAAGAAUUGGCAGAGAGUUGAACUUUAAUAAUUUGAAAAUUAAUUAUGUGGGAAACAUGCCCCUUGAAUAUUCAGUUGACCCUUAACAGGAUCAUACUAAGAAUAAUGGGAUGCUACAAACUGUUACAUGGUACAUUUAUGGACAUGCUGUCUAGAUGCUUGAUGACUCGAAUGAUGCUGAUCAAUUAAAGAAUAUAUACCAAAUCCAA